UCUGAAGCUGUUACUUCUGAGCCACAUUAAACAUCUGAUAAGCUCUCCAUGUCAUAAGAAAAGGAUAAAAAUUGCAAGAAGUUUCAAAGUGCUUGAGCUAUAAAAUUGGAUGUACUCUGGAUGUUAAAAGAACCUAGAGAAUGUUUCAGUGGUCUGGAAAUGAGUCUCUUAAUAUGUGCUUGUGGAUCUUGCUGGUUUCACUGUUUCCUG
rnacentral:lncRNA from 1 species